AUUGAACGCUGGCGGCAGGCCUAACACAUGCAAGUCGAACGGUAACAGGAAGCAGCUUGCUGCUUUGCUGACGAGUGGCGGACGGGUGAGUAAUGUCUGGGAAACUGCCUGAUGGAGGGGGAUAACUACUGGAAACGGUAGCUAAUACCGCAUAACGUCGCAAGACCAAAGAGGGGGACCUUAGGGCCUCUUGCCAUCGGAUGUGCCCAGAUGGGAUUAGCUAGUAGGUGGGGUAACGGCUCACCUAGGCGACGAUCCCUAGCUGGUCUGAGAGGAUGACCGCCCCACCGGGACCGGAAAACGGGCCCAACCCCUACGGGGGGGCAGAGGGGGGGAAUUUGGCACAAGGGGGGCAAGCCUAAGGAAGCCAGGCCGGUGUUAGGAAAAAGGCCUUCGGGUUGUAAAGUAUUUUCCGCGGGGGGGAAGGGAGUAAAUUUAACCCCUUUGCUCAUGGCCGUUCCCCGCAAAAGAAGCACCGGUGAACCCCGG
rnacentral:rRNA from 1 species